UACAGAGGUGGCAAGCGUUGUUCGGAAUUACUGGGCGUAAAGGGCGCGUAGGCGGCCUUCUAAGUCAGACGUGAAAUCCCCAGGCUUAACUUGGGAACUGCGUCUGAUACUGGAUGGCUUGAGUGCGGGAGAGGGAUGCAGAAUUCCAGGUGUAGCGGUGAAAUGCGUAGAUAUCUGGAGGAACACUGGUGGCGAAGGCGGCAUCCUGGACCGGCAUUGACGCUGAGGCGCGAAAGCUAGGGGGAGCAAACGGGG
rnacentral:rRNA from 1 species